UAGAUUGAAGCUCGCUGGAUUGAGCAUUUAGCUGUUAACUAAAAGGUUGUGGGAUAAAGGCCCAUCAGUCUAA
rnacentral:tRNA from 1 species